UGCGCAGGCGGAAUAUUAAGUCAGUGGUGAAAUCCUACAGCUCAACUGUAGAACUGCCAUUGAUACUGAUAUUCUUGAGUAUAGUUGUAGUGGGCGGAAUAUGUCAUGUAGCGGUGAAAUGCUUAGAUAUGACAUAGAACACCGAUCGCGAAGGCAGCUCACUAAACUAUAACUGACGCUCAGGCACGAAAGCGUGGGGAGCAAACAGGAUUAGAUACCUGGUAGUCC
rnacentral:rRNA from 1 species